UACUCCCCAGGUGCUAGCUUAACGGCUUCCUGCGGCACUGGGCGGCGCGUGGCCGACCCAACACCUAGCUAGCAUCGUUUACGGCUGGGACUACCCGGGUAUCUAAUCCGGUUCGCUGCCCCAGCUUUCGUCCCUGACCGUCAGGCGUGUUCUAGUGAGCAGCCUUCGCCACCGGUGGUCCUCCUGGGAUCAAAGGAUUUCGCCCCUACCCCAGAAAUACCGCUCACCUAUCCCACCCUCUAGCUGUAUGGUAUCAUCCGCAGUCCAACGUUUAGGACGCUGGAUUUAACGGUGUAAAAAGACGGCCAGCUACGGACGCUUUAGACCAAAUAAUAGUCCCCACCACUCGAGGGGCUGGUGUUACCGCGGCGGCUGACACCAGUCUUGCCCCCCUCUUAUUCCCACAGGAUAUUACUCUAUGGAAAAGCAGCCCUUAUCGGACUGCACUCGAGAUAACCCCAUCGUACUGGCGUACAUUGUGGAGUUUUCGCGCCUGCUGCGCCCCGUAGGGCCUGGGCCCCUGUCUCAGUGCCCAUCUCCGGGCUACCACUUUCAUGGCCCGUACCGGUCAAAGGUUUGGUGAGCCGUUACCUCGCCAACUGCCUGAUCGGCCGCAGCCCCAUCCUCAGGCACACAACAAACAUGAUCGCUGUGCCAUUGGGCAUGGAACCAUUCCAGGCCUCCAUACCUAUCGCGGAUUAGCCCCAGUUUCCCGGGGUUAUCCACGUCCUGAGGGUAGGUUAGCUACGUGUUACUGAGCGGUUUGCCGCUCGUCCUCAAGGUUGGACGCGCGCGACUAGCAUGGCUUAGUCCCAUCUCGAUA
rnacentral:rRNA from 1 species